UUUUAGUAUUGAUUUAAGUUCAAAUAUUGUAUGAAAUCUAGUCUUUCAGGGAAAGUGCUUAAAAAUCUAUUUCAAAAAGGCUGCCCCCUAGUGGCCUCUUCUUGUUCCUUGGACCUGCAGGAUAAGUCCACUGGGCCUGAGGGCCUCAGUCCUGAGCUGUUCCUUCUGCCUGGAAUCCCUUCUCCCAGAUGUUCUCAUAGCUCUCUGUCUGGCAUCUUUCAAGUCCUGACUCAGAUGCCACCUUCUCAAUUAGCCUGACCUGACCACUUAAUUUAAAAUUGCAAAGCACACCUCCACAAUUCCUGGUCCUCUUACCCUGUCGUAGAAUGCAGGUUUCUCAUAGAAGGGAUUUUGCCCUUUUUUGGUCACUGAUGUAUCUCAAGCUCCUUCGACGUUGCCUGGCACAUACUAGCUGAUCAACAGAUAUCUGCUGAAUUAAAGAGCACGUACUACCCAGCUAGACAUAUUCAUUAAUUCAUGAAAUGUGAUAUUUAUAAACAUGUAUUAGAAGAGCAAAAUUUUCUUUAUGGAGUGAUAGAAUAGGAUAUCUCUUCAAGUUUUAGAUGAAGAUAUUUACAUAACUCCAAAGAGAUCCCAUAUUUGCCACAGAUCCUUUUUUUUAUCUCUAACUAGCUUUAGGUCUAUGAAGAGUAGAGCAAAAGGGUGUAUAACACAGUAACUCCUGGAAACACAAAAUAUUCUGAAAACUCAUCAGUCCUCAGACUAAUGGUGGCUGAGUGGCAGCGCUUACACAAACCCUGGUCCCACUCACAGGAGCUGGCCUUUACUGUUAACUGUGAAGACAUCUAACCUUCAAGGACAGGGCCAAGGUGAAAGUUCAGAGUUGUAUCUGCUUUUGAAACAGAUUCAGAGACAACCUACCUGCUUCUAAGAUUCACUGAAAUUAGAAACUAUUCACCUUUAUUCCUUAAUUAAGAGGACUUUGAGACUUACAAUUUCCCUGUUACCUUAUUUGUGUCCAUUACAAACACUGGCUAUGUAACCAUGCAUUUGCAGGAGUUAAAUCCAUGAAAUUAUUUUAAUUAUUAACCAUUUCAGUAAACUCUUUGCAUACUUACUAAGUUCUUCUGCUACUUCAUCAAGACAGAUGUCAUUAUUUACAGCAGGGUUGGGAUAGUCAGGAUAUCGUGCUAAGAACUUAUGACACAAUAAUCCUAAACUUUUCUCUUUUCGACUUGGUUGGGAUUUCUCAUAUUCAUCUCCAGAUAAGUGUUCCUAUGAAAGGAAAAGGUAAAUAACAUCUCAUUCUGAGAUAAUGUUUGACAGAUUUAUUAAGGGCAUCUGUGUUUGAUGACUAACACCACUUAUCUACAUGCUUAGCUUGGACAGCUGCGAAGUUUGAGAUGGAAGAAAAAGUGGGGUGGGGAAGGGGGACCCAGUAGAAUACUUGGCAAAUCUGAAAGGGAAGCCUGAAAUAAAAAUCACUCAAAGGUUCACAAUUCCCAGUGGUUGAUGGGGUUCAAACCUUUCUGAUGCUCUGGGAUUUAUUAUGAACAGCCUGAGGAUAGUGAUCUUCAUAUUUUCAAUAUUUCUGCAGAAGAUCCAAACCCCCCAUUAAUCCCCAGUCUCUACUGGCCCUCUGAAAACCUACAUGUAAACAGUCUUUGGCCUCAGGUAAUCCAUUUCUGUUGUCAAACAAUCCCCUUCUCUGAUCUCUGUCCCGGAUCUCAGGGCUCACAGCACUGAUGAGCAUUUUCAGAUUGGCUGUUGGUGUCCAUGGCUCUCCCUGGGACACUUCCUUGGGCUUGGUGGGUGUGGUUAAAGGGCCAAAGUCAGGCUGGAUCUCGGCCAGUGCUAUAUUCACCUUUGUGGAUUCUUUGAGGGGUGUUUUCAUCAGUCCCCUUUUAUGUGGCUCAAAAAAGAGAUUUUCCUGGUUCAAAAGAAGUAAAUAGUUAGAUCCAUUGUAGAAUAAGACUUAUCAGAUGGCUUUUGACUAAAAAUCAUACAAUGAAUAGAAUACUGCUAAGGAAAAAAAUCUAAUGAAAUCAAAGUUGAUUAAGGAGUAUAUUACAAUGAUCAUUUCACACCUACUGUCUGUUCUAAUAAAUUUUCCACUUUCAAGUUUGCAAAAAGCAUGGAUUCAAAUGCUUUCAUCUUAUGUUCCAAGAAUAAAAAAAAAAAAAAAAAAAAGAAACUUGAUUAGGACUUAUAACUUUUUAACUCUAUUUUGAAAUAAUUUUAGAUUUAGAGAAGAGGUGCAAAGGUAGUUUAGAGAGUUCCCAUAUAUCUCUACUCAUCUUUCCCUAACAGACCUGUUAAUUUUAAAUAAUCCCAAACAGUAUUAUAAGUAAGCCUCCAAGGCAGAAACCAUUUUCCAGCUAGCAUAAUGGCUACACUGGGUGCUGCAUGAUGAUUAAACAAAACUGACAUGGAAGAGAGCCAAGCAGACAGAGGUGAGAGGUAGCAUAUAGUCAGAAAUCCAGAGAAUCUGUGAAAUCCAGAGUGCCUAAAUGCAGGUUUUCUGACCAGAAAAAUUCAGAUCCACCCUUCCACUUUACAGAUGAAGAAAAUGUGGCUUGUUCACAAAUAAAGAAUAAUAAAGACUGUGUUCCUUCCUCUUUCAGACACCAGGUACUUUAUACAUUGCUCCUAGCUGUAUCUAUUUUAAAGAAAAUACUUGAAAUGGCAAUAUAUGAAAGAACAGGGAGAACUACUAACUCCUCAAUAAACUUUGGGAACACGGAAGAAGAGGACACAAGGCUGAAGGUGGUUACACAGCACAGGAAUCUGGACCUUCUCACUCCAUGUAUGGUGUUCCCACAUGGCGGUUAGUAUGAUGGAUCUAGGCGGGGACUCCUUGCCAGCAUGUGCACUCAUGAGGUACUGACCUACAGAUGGAGUUUUGCUAAAGACUACUGCUCUUUGCUUCACACUGCCAAGAACAAUAUUAAUUCUCUUAUUUAACAUUUAAAGCUUUUAGUAAAGUUUCAGUUCACUUUUUUAACCUAUCAGUAGCUAGACACCAGUGGGAUACUCCUAUUGACAAUUCCUCUGUAAUUUUCCAAAAUAUUUACUCAUGGACAGAAUUUGGAGCCCUAAUAGUUAAAGAAGCUGACAAUUAAUAAAAAAAUUAUAAACAAAUCCAAUAUCAAAUUAUGUCAAAUACCCUUUCUGAAUUCCAAUUGCUUAAGAAUCCUCAGAAAUUUCAUAAUGUACUAACAAAUUUUAUUGUAUUCUUAAAAAUACCUUUUCUCUUUGUAACUUCCAUAAAACCAUUAAAAUAGAAAGAUUACUUUAACCAUGGGCAAUCCUACCCUUCUUCAAAACUUAAAAAUUUCCUUCCUUCUGGGUUUUUGCAAAAGCUAACUAACCAAAAAGGGUUGAUGUCAAUAAGGCAGAGGAGAAUGAAAAAUUAAACAGUUCAGUCAUGAUGAUAAUGCAAAUUUAAAACUGCAACAAUGAAUGCCAAAGCUACAAAGUACCUUUUCGUUCUCCAUUCGGCUAAUUUUUCAUACAUUUAGUGUUUCUUUUAAAAUGAAAAAUCUGUAGUUCCUCCCCAAAUCCUGAUGGUUCCAGUAGUCCAAUCAAUUCUAUUAAAAUUUUUAAUAUCCUUAAAGAAAAAAAGGAAAUAGAAAAAAAAAUUAGAGAAAAUAUGCACCAGUAGAUUUGCUAAAAAUUCCUUCACCAUCAGGGACACAAGAGGCCGCCUAAACAAAGAGUUACAAAAAAUGACAAACUGGAUUUAUAUUUUAUUCUUGAUCUCCAGAAGAGAUAGCCCCACCACGGGGUAGACAACUCCAACAUCAAUAGAUUUCUUCGUAAAAACCAUCUUCUGUCAUGAGCUUUCAAGUAACCCACAAAAUUCCCAGUGACAGCUCUUUGCCAUCUUUAGAGAAGGCAUUCUACCGGGCCCCAAGUUCACUAGCAAGCACCCACCUGUCCACAGAUCAGGGCUCCGGACUGAGCAUACGAGCCCAGGUUCCGGCUGAGCACACAGGAUCCCAAGUUUCUGGACACGAAUCUGCAUCUAGAUGCCCGAAUUUCUCUCCUUGCACAUAUGUGCACAUGCUCAGCAGUAGUCUUGGGGCGCUGCGAUAUGGAACUUCCAAAUUCAGUACCUAAGCUCUAAGGGUACUGCUGGGCAUUUAAAGAGCGCCUUCUGGUUAAGACUCUUUUCCUUUUAAUAGACUUCCUUAAAGAUGCAGAGUUGUAUGUAUUCGCUAUUCGGGUGGCUGGUUCACACCACGAUGCUCAACUCCAUUGAGGAAGGCUGCGUUUGCUCAGUCAAACUACCAGUGUGCUGCUGCUGAGAGUUGCUACAGAAGGAAUUCAGAUAUGGCACCCUGGACAGAUGGCAAGAGUCUGGCAUUGAGCACCAUCAGACCUACGCUGAAGACCUGCACACCUCCUCUCUGGAUCACAUUCACAUUUAAAAAGGACUGCCAGUGUGGGAAGAAAAGAGUGAAAUAAGCUGCAUUCAGUAGACCUUAGGAGAGAGCAGGACCCAGCUGGGAACCUGACGCCACUUUUGCACAUGCCCUCUGACAGACUGUGAGAAACCAGCCAUGAGACUGGAGCCUGAUCAGAGAGGAAGGCUGAAGCCCGUUGGAAUCCCUGGGACUCAAGAAGAUAAGAAGAGCCCAGCAAAGGCAGGAUCAGUUGGAAGCUGCCCUAGGUUUACCUGGCUUUUGGCCAGAUGUCUACCUGCCCACUAGAGCCAGCAAGAAAAAUGUGGAAUCAUGUUAGUACAAAUUUUGGUCUAGUACAGAGGAAUACAAAGAUGAAUCAGUUACUACCGAAAUGACUAAACUUAAAAGGUAACUAGAGGAGCUGGGAUUGAAGCUCAGUGGUAGAGUGCUUGCCUAGCAUGGCGUGUGUGAGGCACUGGGUUUGAACCUCAGCACUGCAUAUAAAUAAAUAAAUAAAAUAAAAGUCCAUCAACAACUAAAAUAGCUAAAUAAAUAAAUAAAUAAAUAAAUAAAAUGACUCAGUUUGGUAAGGAUUUGGUACAUUGCUGCAAAUUUCAUCCACUGAUGGAGUAAAUACAAAUUUGUACAGCAUAAGGUGUAGAAAGAGGUAUUCAGUAGUAUCUACUGAAGUUGCUUACAUACCUCCUUUGUGAUCUAGAAGUUCUACCCCUGUCAGUCUCUAACAGGGAAGAGGGCUUUCCUACCUGGCUAACUAUGUUCAAGAAUCUUCCUAGCAGCACACAUUGUAAUAAUGCCAAAUGGGAAACUCCUCAGAGUCCAUCUGAGGAGUUGUGGUAAUUUCAUACAAUAGAGAACUCAUUAUUGCUACACACAAUAGCAUGGAUAAAUCUCAAAAACAUUAUGCUGUCUGAGAGAGGCCAUAUUCAAAAGAGUAUAUACUAUCUGAUUUCAUUUUUAUGAUAUUCGAAAACAGGCAAAACUAACUGCAUUAAGUCAGAAUGGUAGCUACUCUUUGGAGAAGGUAUUGGCUGGGAGUGGGGCAUGGAAGAGGCUUCAGGGUGUUAGAAAUGCUUUAUAUCUUGAUUUGGGUAGUGGCUGCCUAGACGUAACAUUUGAAAAUGUUCUUUGAUACUCUUAAGAUACAGGCUCCUUAUUGUAUAUGUUAAAUUUCAAUAAAAAGUAUUUAAAAAAUGAGAGAUAUUCAUUGCUCCCAAGAAUUUCAUAGCUUACCCACGAGGGGUGACGGACAUCAAAAACACAGAUGCCUAGUUUAGAGGGAAGUGCUAAUUAAAACAUGUCUGAAGAGCCCUGUGACCUCAAAGGAUGGGGUGACUGAUUCUGCCUUGAGAAAAGUAUGCACAGAGCUCUGGUUUAUUGGGAACAUAAUAUGUGCCAGGGACUUAAAAUUACUUUGUGCUUUCCCUAUAGCAUAAUUUAUGAGAUGAAACCCAUGAAUAGGCUUUUGAGUGAUACAUAGGUAUUCAACACAAAGUAAUGAAAAUUACAUCAGCAUUGUGGAUACUAUUCAUGAGAAAACCCUUUUGUGAUUGUGUCUUAGUUUCUAGAGGCAGCUGGAACAAGUUUAUUAGAAAUCUAGUGGCUUACUGCAUCAGAAAUUCAUUCUCUCACAGUUGUGGAGACCAGAAGUCCAAUGUAUGACAGUUUCUAGAGGAAAAUCCACUUCCUGCCUCUUCCAGCUCCUGGUGGUUAUCCUGGUAUUCUUGGGUUGGAAGUCACAUCAUUUCAGUCUCUGCCUCAUUGUCACAUUACCUUCUCCUCUAUAUGGCUUCUGCUCUUUGUGUGUAUCUUAUUAGGAAGCUUGUGAUGGCAUUUAGAGCCUACCCAGAUAAUCCAGGAUCAUCUCCUGAUUUUAAGAGCCUUAAUUUAAUCACUUCUGCAAGGACCUUCCCCCAACACAGUCACACUUACAGUUUCCCAGGAUUUGUCAUAAAUAUAUGUCAUAAGGAUUUGUCAUAAAUAUUCGUCGUAAGCUAUUAUGAAUGGCUUAAUUAAUAAUUAAGCAAAUUUAUUUGAACAUGACUAAGUAUGUGUUGCCAGAGAGGGAAGGGAAGUUUGAACACACAGGAAAAUCCCUGUAAUGUGCUCCAUGAGGAUUGUAUUUCCCUAUACACUUGCCCUGGAGCUAAGACCCUUGGUUGGAGGCGCACCUGUGGACACACACACACACACACACACACACAAAACUUUUGUUUGAACUGCAUUUUGGUCGAGUCUUAGGUCUCUGGAGAUUUCCUGGAGCCACCUUGCAGCCCACCAUUCACAAAUCACAAAAAUCACCUCAAAAGGGAAAGUAUUUUUAA